rnacentral:rRNA from 1 species
GACAGAGGUGCCAAGCGUUAGGCGGAAUCACUGGGCUUAAAGCGUGUGUAGGCGGAUUUGUAAGUACCUUGUGAAAUCCCACGGCUCAACCGUGGAACUGCUUGGUAUACUGCUUAUCUUGAGCCACUUAGGGGCUGUCGGAACAAGUGGUGGAGCGGUGAAAUGCGUAGAUAUCACUUGGAACGCCAACGGUGAAAACAGCUCGCUGGGGAUGUACUGACGCUGAGACACGAAAGCCAGGGGAGCAAACGGG